GAUGAAGAACGUAGCAAAAUGCGAUACUUGGUGUGAAUUGCAGAAUCCCGUGAACCAUCGAGUUUUUGAACGCAAGUUGCGCCCGAAGCCUUUUGGCCGAGGGCACGUCUACCUGGGCGUCACGCAUCGCGUCGCCCCCCACAAUUCUCCGUAAAGGGAACGUGUGUUUUGGGGGCGGAUAUUGGUCUCCCGUGCUCAUGGCGUGGUUGGCCGAAAUAGGAGUCCUUUCGAUGGACGCACGAACUAGUGGUGGUCGUAAAAACCCUCGUCUUUUGUUUCGUGCUGUUGCUCGCAAGGUAAACUCUUUAAAAACCCCAAUGUGUCGUCUCUUGACGACGCUUCGACCGCGACCCCAGGUCAGGCGGGACUACCCGCUGAGUUUAAGCAUAUCAAUAAGCGGAGG
rnacentral:misc_RNA from 1 species